rnacentral:rRNA from 1 species
UACGAAGGGGGCUAGCGUUGCUCGGAAUCACUGGGCGUAAAGCGCACGUAGGCGGAUUGCUAAGUCAGGGGUGAAAUCCUGGAGCUCAACUCCAGAACUGCCUUUGAUACUGGCGAUCUUGAGUCCGGGAGAGGUGAGUGGAACUGCGAGUGUAGAGGUGAAAUUCGUAGAUAUUCGCAAGAACACCAGUGGCGAAGGCGGCUCACUGGCCCGGUACUGACGCUGAGGUGCGAAAGUGUGGGGAGCGAACAGG